rnacentral:rRNA from 1 species
GUGUCAGCAGCCGCGGUAAUACGUAGGGGGCAAGCGUUGUCCGGAAUUAUUGGGCGUAAAGCGCGCGCAGGCGGUCCUUUAAGUCUGAUGUGAAAUCCUGUGGCUCAACCACAGGCUGCCAUUGGAAACUGGGGGACUUGAAUACAGAAGAGGAGAGUGGAAUUCCACGUGUAGCGGUGAAAUGCGUAGAGAUGUGGAGGAACACCAGUGGCGAAGGCGACUCUCUGGUCUGUAACUGACGCUGAGGUGCGAAAGCGUGGGUAGCAAACAGGAUUAGAAACCCGCGUAGUCC